AGGGCGCGAGUGAAAUGGGGGUUUCCGUAUCCGGCGAUCGCUUGAGAGCUGCGAUAAGGAGAGCAAUGGAGUUGAUGAAAGAGGCAACUGCUUCCUCUUCCACUCACCGCUGCUUCUACGCGCCUAGGUCGUGCAGAUCGUCACGGGAGCUAAUCAGAAUUUAUUGGACUAUUCUAGUUUCUAUUUGCUGGGGGAUUGGACUUGACGUAUUGAAUAUUGUGGAGAACUCGAUUUA